rnacentral:rRNA from 2 species
GGUUAAGCGACUAAGCGUACACGGUGGAUGCCCUGGCAGUCAGAGGCGAUGAAGGACGUGCUAAUCUGCGAUAAGCGCCGGUAAGGUGAUAUGAACCGUUAUAACCGGCGAUUUCCGAAUGGGGAAACCCAGUGUGACUCGUCACACUAUCAUUAACUGAAUCCAUAGGUUAAUGAGGCGAACCGGGGGAACUGAAACAUCUAAGUACCCCGAGGAAAAGAAAUCAACCGAGAUUCCCCCAGUAGCGGCGAGCGAACGGGGAGGAGCCCAGAGCCUGAAUCAGCAUGUGUGUUAGUGGAAGCGUCUGGAAAGGCGCGCGAUACAGGGUGACAGCCCCGUACACAAAAGCGCAUGUGUUGUGAGCUCGAUGAGUAGGGCGGGACACGUGGUAUCCUGUCUGAAUAUGGGGGGACCAUCCUCCAAGGCUAAAUACUCCUGACUGACCGAUAGUGAACCAGUACCGUGAGGGAAAGGCGAAAAGAACCCCGGCGAGGGGAGUGAAAAAGAACCUGAAACCGUGUACGUACAAGCAGUGGGAGCCCCACCACUAAGCCAGUGGUGAACUCCACAUACGCAUCCUUUGCUGAAGGUGCGGUUAACGGAGCGCAAGCGACGUUCAACCUCAAAAGAAGCAGAGGGGGCUUAGUGGUGG